UAUGUUUUAAAGUAAAUAAUGAAUAUUUCAGCAUGAUUCACGCAUCAUGGAUACUAUGUGAUAUGUUAGGGUGUUUGCAUUAGUAUUCACGAAUAUGUUGCAUUGCAUAUUAUGUUGUUGAUGUGGAUGAAUGUUGAGUGAUCCAUUAGCCCUCGUAUGUUAUGUCAUGAUAUGAUGAUGAUACGGUACGGAAGUCCAGGAAGACCCAUUCUACGUCCCUGGCACUAUGUAAGAGAAAGUCUAGGAAGACCCAUUCUACGUCCCUGGUAUCUUGGAAUGUUAUGUUAUGUUAUGUAAGAGAAAGACCAGGACCCAUUCUACGUUCUGGCACUAAUGGAAAUGUAGAGGGCUAUUGGUGACAAAUUCAUCCUUGAUGUGAUUUGUUUGUAAUGUGUUGCAUUUCAUGAAAGCAUGAACUUUUAAUAUAAUGUUUUAUUAUUCUGCUCACUGGGCUCUAGUAGCUCACCCCACUCCCUUAAUUCCCCAGGUUUGCAGGUACGGGAUAGACCAGG
rnacentral:lncRNA from 1 species